UGCAACAAUUGAGACCUAUUCCGCACAGA
rnacentral:piRNA from 1 species